rnacentral:lncRNA from 1 species
CCCGGCAGCGACCUGUCCCUGUUCCAGCCGGCGUCCCAGGGCAUCUCGCGAUAAUUUGUGAUUUGGGGGCGGGACCCAGUCAGGAAUAGCGCACAAAACUGCCCUUAAGUCAUUGCAGAGCUGCAGCUCCGGUUAGCCGGCCACGAGGUUCUCGCGAGACCCGCCUGCUCAAUACCAAGUGAGGAAACUAGGGGACGAGGUUGGGAGGGGCGUGGGACUGCACCGCGCAGCUGCUGCUUUCAUUACCUUCCUCCCAUGGUCUCCUUCCGGUUCUCGAUGCUUCUCUGAGUCUGUUUCCGCCACUCGUCUCCCCCCGCCCUCAGCCCAUGACCCGCCUCCGUCCCCCGCCCUCCCAGUCCAACCUCAGAUCCGUUUAGUAAGAAGGGGCUGUUCCGAAAAGGACGAGGAAAGGGGGUGGCACAGAUUCGCUCGGCCAGGGACGUGGGAAGUAAACCGUUCCCCUUCACCCUUAGAUUCAUCCUGUGCUCGCGACGGCGGCGUUGGCGGACUGAUACGCGGCGGUGAAGAGGCAGGAGGAGGGGGGAGGGGCGGAGCGUGGCAGCUGGCAGUAGUUCCGUCAGAGCGGACAUCUUGUGGCUGUGUCGUGCGCGUGAGCCCCGUAGGGCCGGGGAGGCACCAGCUGCCGCGCGGGGAGGAGGCCGAGGCCGCAGCUUGAGGGAGGCCCCGGCCCCUCUGUACGCGUGGGUGUGGACAGCUAGGGGAAGGGAAGGGAGGCCGGCCCACUGGCCGGCCGGGUAAGAGGGGAAAUACGGGCCCUGGGUGGUUUGAGUGGCCAGCCUGUUGGGUUGGGUGGGGUAGGGCGGGGAGGCUGGAGAAACCCGGGCCUCUUCUACUUAAAGGGGAGGGGGAAUGGGCGCGUCCUCGCGCCUAAGCCGGAGCUUCAGGGGCAGCACGGGCGCGUGGCGGUGGUGGUGGCUAGGCGGGCGCGCGCGCGAGCGCGCUGGAAGGCGGAGUGUACGGUGGCGUCAGGGGCGACACUGAAUAGCUAUAGCUUCGGGGAGAGGAACACACAUUAAGUCUAUUUCUUCAUUUCCUUUUCUACCCCGGCCAAACCUUCGAGCCGAAACCGAAAGAAGCCCGGCGUCAGUCCGGAGACUCCUGUUUCCCCCUCCCCCCUUGCCUUUCUUUGCCCUAGUGACGCCGGCAUAGCGCCGACUAGGCCCCGGCUCCUCCUCUGCUGGGCUCCGGACCCUGCCCCGCACCCACCCCUUUCUCCUACGCUUCCUCCUCACCCACCCGGGUCUCUUCCUUUGGAGAGACCGGGAAGUUAAACUUGUAGCCACCCCUCCGUUCUUCCCGUCACCUUCGCCCCCACUUCGGUCCGAAGCACGGCAUAGAGGCUGUUGGUGGCUUUGCCACCCCACCCACCCCGGAUCGCGACCGUUUUAAGGGACCUGGAAUCUUCAGGGUCUCUCCGGGGCCAGUGCAAGUGCUGAUCUGCUCCGUUUUUGCAAAAAGGCGCCUGUGUCUGGCACAGCGGUG